rfam:Rhodococcus erythropolis PR4 DNA, complete genome.
UAACCAUCCAGAGCGAUCGAGAGUCCUGGCUCCGUGACGUCGCAGCAACCCCCUCUGCUGAGGUGCGGGUGCUUUCGGCCAGGUCCGAUGGAGG